GAGCUGUUGAUCUCUAACUCUAGGUCAGCCUGUCAGUUUCAGUUGAUAGCAAGUGGGGAGGAAGGCAGAUUUCUUGAAGGGCAUUCAGGUUAGUUAUUGAUUUUUUUAUUCCCUCCCUUUUCUCCUCCAGUUGAUUUGAUUAUUGGUGAAUAGAACUGAUAUAUAGGAUGGAAACUUGAGUAAUUCUGACAGAUGUUGUGAAAGCCAUUCUUUUCUCUUAAUGGAGUUCUCAACAGGAACCUGAGUGCAAGGUGUAGGCAAGGUAAUAAUUCUUGGAAUUUUCUUGCUUGUUUAAGGUCAAAUUUUUUUAGAGUGACAGGUCAUCCUCCAUUGUGUCAAAUACACUAUCCAUUGUUGAUCUUCCUAACAGGUCCAUCCCACGGUUAUUCUUUCACCAGCUGCUGACCAAAAGUGAUAUUCCAUCUGUGAGCUAGUUAUGUGGAUACUGAGUUGAAGAAGAACAUCCUUUACUGGGCUUAGAGCCAGAGAAGGUGCGAGGGCACAGAUUCAAGCUGCUUGGAACAUAAACAGAGAAUGCACUCACAAUGGCUUGGGGCACUUCAAAAUUCAAAAGAUGGGCACGGAGCCCCGAAAUGCGGGGCAGCUUCCAAGGUAUUGCUUGCCAGGAAGGGACGCCUGCCUGGACACCAACCACCCGAGCCGUCUUGCAGCGUCUGCUCCUGUGGCUACAAGGUUUAGAGGACAGUCAGGAUCAAGGCAUCCUGGAGCUGAUGCAUGUGGGGUGUAGAAAUAGGGAAAUGCUCUUCCAAGAUGUGCCUUCCAAGACUGCCUGUGCCCCUCGAUUCAGCAAAUAUUGACAGAACACUUACUCUGCGCUGGGCCGGGAGUUAAGGCAGACGGUCUUGGCUGUCAGGGACUUAAGGAAGUCAGACAUGAAACAAAUCGAGUGGCCAUGAACCUCAGUCCGUGAUUCAUGUGUGAAAAUACAUACUCUUGUUUAUUUUCUUGAAAUCAAAGCUGACUCUGAGCUCUCAUCCUGCUAGAGCAGCAGGAAAUUCCAUUUCUGACAUUUGGACCAGAAGCCCCAGGGCUUUCAUGAGGAUUCUGAAAACAGUUGGGGCUUCUGGUCCCUGUCCCAUUGUAGCUGCUACAGGCAUCCCUAUUUUGCCUAAGAUGUUAGAUGGGCCAGGAGGCCAGGGAUGGCGGCUGCUCAGAGGGAGUCCUCUGCCUCCAGGCCACCGUGGGUACAGGAGACUUUGCCAGAGCUGGGAGGGCCAUGGCCAGCACUUGGCUCGGCCAUCCCUCCGACAUCUAUUCACGGCUCCCUGGACACCAACAAGUUCUCCACCACAUGGGGAGGCAGUCUGCAUAGGAUAAAGCCUGGGACAACCCUUAGGCUUGGGUGGUGGGGAAGUGGGUGUCACUGACUGAUAACUGAUAUAUUUCAUGCUUUCCCCGAUACCUUUUUGGUAGCCAUGUCAAUAUAUGAUUUAAAAUCAUUAAAAAGACUGAAUUCUUA